ACUGCAUGGCGGGCAUCUCAGAUAGGGCACAGCUCUCCGGGACCGGGGACCUCCAGAAAACUAGUCUGUCAUGUGCCAGGUGAAGGUGACUGUAAAGUGUCCACAUCAGGCAGUGACCUCACCAUGGGAGCCUGGCAGUGCCAGGCUUCCUGAUCCCCACCUCUUGGACCACGUGCCGUCUACUGAACCAUCGCAUCGCCAUGCGUAUCCUAUGUUAUAUGCCAACAUAAUAUUAUGUAGCUACUGAAUUGUAACUCUAUAUCAGGAUGAUUUCUCAUCAAUUAUCUGCUUGCCAUUUCUUUCUUUAUUUUACUUUUUUCCUUCUUUUUCACCUUUUAUGUUCCUUUUGAUUUAUUGUCGCCAAUGGUGUACUACAUAAGUUUAUGUAUAUGCCUUGUAUAUGUAUGUGUAUAUAUAUGACACUAUUAUUCUCUGUUCCAUAGUGUCUGAUGAAGGCUAAUAUAGCCGAAAACGCGUUCA